AAAAAGGGUUUCAUUUAUUAGAAACCCUUCACUUUUCUGCGGCAAAGACCAAAGACGAACCGCCAUCCGCACGUGCCGCACAAAGACCAGCCGCACCUGCUCUGUCUCCGGCGACGUGGACCAUCUCCGGCGACUGCAUCAUUUCCGGCGGCACCAAGCCUAGAGGACAGUGACACCAAGUGUGCAGAAUUAGCAAGGAGCAUUGGAAAAGCUUGCUAUUAAUUGGAAGAGGUUCAUGGACCUAUCUGAUGAUCAUUUUGAGGAGCACUUAGAGGGUGAUCUCGACAACCAGGUUGUUAUUGAUUCCAUAGAUGCGCCGACCAGUGUUGAUUCCAUGGAUGUUCAUGACCACAAGGAAGGGGAUAAUGGUGAAGAGAAUGCAGAAGGUAAAAGCAAGACACACAUAAGUGUACACGAGGCAUAGUGCGAUUGGCAAAGAUUAUAGCAGAUAAAAUAAAAGGAAUCAAACGCCAUUUGAGGUUCAACACCCGAGGGCAAUCGAUCGGGACCCCAAACAGAGAGCUUCAGUGUUAUUUAGGAAUGGAAACGACUAUUUCACGUUUUUUUAGAAUUCAAUUCAUUUAUCCAAAACCCAAAAGAAAAACAUAUUUCAACCCUUUCUCGCUUGUUUCCCCUAAUCUCAUUUAGCUCCCCCUUCACAUCUUCUUCAUCGUUUGCUUCUUCUUCUUCUUCUUCAUUCUUGUUCAUCGUCACACAAACCUAGUUGUAUGCUCAAGAUUGUUCACCAUCACUCACAAGUCUUCGAUCCCUGGUCACUCUAAUGAGAGAAAAUUUUACGACUUAGGAGGAUGUUUAUGAAACUUAAUAAGCAAGUAUUUUUCAGCAAGUGUUAUCUUUGUUGUUUGCAUAUUUAAAUUCCAAUAGAAGAUGAUGAAGUCUUCCAACUCUUCUGAAGAGCUUGGAAAGCAUACAGACUCUGUGCAUCACAAAAGAAAAGACAAUUAAUAACCUCAGACGGAAGGAAGGAAAUCUCUGCUUUGGUGGGUCGAAGAUUUUUUUGGUUUUUAUGUCUUAUGGUUUGCUUGUGUCUUAUGAUUUUUGUGUCUGUUUGCUAAUAAUAAUUGUAAAUUAUAACUGGUUUGAUUUGAUUUGAGAAAAUAAUGACCUGAAAUUUGGGUUAAUAUUUGACAAGUUAUUUCAGGACUUUUUUGCAGUUUUAUUAUUAAUCUCAUUUCAGUUUCGAAUUCCUUAA